CCUGCUUGCUGCGUGAGACUGAGUAACUGCUAGAUCCUUGGACUUCCAUUCACAGCUGCGACUGAACCAUUGUUGGGAAUUGGGCUGCCGACUAUAUAUAAAGUGUGAACAUCGAGUACUUUCAAUCAAGACAUGAAAUCACCACAAACGACAUCAACUAUAUAGUGAAGCAUUAUGUGAACUGACUUAGCCAUGUUUUAUGUUGUGUCAGCAAGAUCCAUCUAAAUUGUCAUAAAUCAUCUGACAAGGUAGUAUCCAACAUAGAAGAAAAUGGAAAUAAAAUGUAAGGACAUAAGUUCAGCAUGGCUAUCUUCUGAGAGGCUCUACCAGCAGCUUACUGAGAAAGAUGCAGAUACAGCCAACCAUUGGACUGAAAUCGGGGACCUCUAUAGAAGAAUUAUGAGACAGAUUGAAAGAUCUGAAGUGGAUGGCAACCCCAUAGGGAGAGCAGAAGUAUUAAUAAACCCAGAGC
rnacentral:lncRNA from 1 species